rnacentral:tRNA from 1 species
GGGGCUGUAGCUCAAUGGUAGAGCGCCUGCCUUGCAUGUGUAGAGGCCCUGGGUUCAAUCCUCAGCACCA